AUGGCUGAGGGCCAGAAACGAGGGGGCUUCAAGAAAUUCAGUAAGUCACCGGGGGAUGGAGAGGGCGGGUGCCGGGUGCUCACCUGGGCAGCCUGGCCCCAAAGGGGGGGAUGCACGAGCACGGUCACCUCUUGUAAGGGAGAGGUUGCAUCAGGAAACCCACUGGGGAUGAGAGGGGCUCUGGGGUUUUACAUCCCCAGGGCUGGCUCGAGCCCUGCUGAUGAUGGGUCAGGUGCUGGGAAUGGGACUGGGACCGGUCUGCAUGCACUGGGUGCCAGCGUGCACCCAGUGGGGGUGAACCCCACUCUCACCCCACUGGGGAUUUCGGCUCCCCAAAUCACGCCUUGCAAGGAGCAUUCACCCCGCUGUGUGCCUGGGGGUGAAAGCUGGGGCUGGGGGUGUCCGGGACCGCUCCGGGUCCUCCUGCAGCAGCGAUUUGGGAUGGAGGCCGGGGGCGAAUCCGCACCGAUGGAGCCGCACUCGGGGAUGAAGCGCUGGGAGCGGGGCGCAGAGGAAGCGGUGGUGCCCGCGGGGAGGGAGCCGUGCUCUUUCUCACAGUUUCUGGUUUUCCCCAAAGCCCUGGGACUGCACAUCGCCAGGCCCCGCGCUGAGCAGGAGCUGGCCUUCGCUGCUGCUCUCCGCAUUCCUCUGCCUCCACGUGCCGCUGCCGGCGCAGUGGGAGGCCAGCCCCUCCGCUCCCCCGGGAGCUGUGCGAGGGGCUGGGCAAAACUCAUCUCCCACGGCCCCGGCUUCCAUCGGGGUGGGAAGCGAGGCGAUCGGGAAGGUCCCCGGCUUUUCCACUCUGCAGCAGCCCCGAGCGCAAAGGAUGCUCGGCCCCCGAGGGGGGCUUUAACCCAAAGCACUUCAGCUGCUGACAGCGUCCAGGCCACCAAAUUUCAGCUCUGCAGGAGUGGUUCUGGCUUGCUGCAGCCCCUUUGCCUUGUCUGGUGGCGGGGGCACCCUGCAGCCUGUGCAGGAGGUGGGGUCCGAGGGCUGAGCCCCCCGCACCCAGGCUCCUUACGCAGUGCAGGGUGCAGCUUCCUGCCUCGGCACACCCAGAGGGGAAGAGGCUUCGCAGGGCCCCACUGCAUAAUGUAA
rnacentral:lncRNA from 1 species